rnacentral:rRNA from 1 species
CGGUAAGGUAAGUUCCUGGUAAAAUCGGGCAGCUUAACUGUCCGUAUGCUAGGAAUACUGCUAUGCUAGAGGGCGGGAGAGGUCUGAGGUACUACAGGGGUAGGGGUGAAAUCUUAUAAUCCUUGUAGGACCACCAGUGGCGAAAGCGUCAGACUGGAACGCGCCUGACGGUGAGGGACGAAAGCCAGGGGAGCGAACCGGAUUAGAUACCCGGGUAGUCCUGGCCGUAAACGAUGCACACUAGAUGAUGGUGCGGCCAUGAGCCGUAUCAGUGUCGUAGGGAAACCGUUAAGUGUGCCGCCUGGGAA